rnacentral:rRNA from 1 species
AGCGAACGCUGGCGGCAGGCCUAACACAUGCAAGUCGAACGAACCUUCGGGUUAGUGGCGGACGGGUGAGUAACACGUGGGAACGUGCCCUUUGGUACGGAAUAACUCAGGGAAACUUGAGCUAAUACCGUAUGUGCCCUUCGGGGGAAAGAUUUAUCGCCAUUGGAGCGGCCCGCGUUGGAUUAGGUAGUUGGUGAGGUAAAGGCUCACCAAGCCUACGAUCCAUAGCUGGUCUGAGAGGAUGAUCAGCCACAUUUGGACUGAGACACGGCCCAAACUCCUACGGGAGGCAGCAGUGGGGAAUCUUGCGCAAUGGGCGAAAGCCUGACGCAGCCAUGCCGCGUGAAUGAUGAAGGUCUUAGGAUUGUAAAAUUCUUUCACCGGGGACGAUAAUGACGGUACCCGGAGAAGAAGCCCCGGCUAACUUCGUGCCAGCCGCCGCCGUAAAAC